UCGCUGCUUGGUCAGUUAGUCUUGGUUUCAAAUGCAUUACGCAUAGGUUCAGUCAGUGGUUUCAAGCAAAGCAGAGCAUUGCAGAGCUAAACAGAUGAAGCUCCAUUACAGGAUUUAUCAACCUUUAAAAAACAAUAACAACAACAAAAAAUUACACAUGUGCUUGUUUAUUUAGUUGUUUUACUGUUGAAUGAAGUGCUCUUGCACUUGUGUGGUUACAAACCGCAUGUUGAGCCAUGUUUGCCUGGAUUUGCAUGUGUUUGUCCACUUAAGUAGUAAUGCUAAUGUGGUUGACACACAAAAAAUGAGUACAGCAGAGAGCAGUUGUAGGUUACCUAGAUAAGUUUGUGGUUCUCUACAGGCAGGCCCGUGGGCUUGGUACUGACUGCUAAUCAGUUAUGUUACCUUGUUUUAAAUAAUAAGAAAAGAUAUACAGCUUUUUGCAUAUCAGACAUGCCAAAUGCAUCUUUUAACACACAUUUAUUACAUAUAAUUUAUGGGUACUUUAAUUAUUUAUUCUUUUAUGUUUUAUUUGUAUGUUGUCAUCCACAGAGCUGUCUGCCUUAAAGAUUCAAAACAAGCUGCUGGGUAAAUGUCUGCAGGUUACAGAAGGAACUGAAGGAGGUAGAGUGUCACUGGGCGAAUGCAGCCCACACUCACCUUUACAGGAAUGGCGUUGGCACCAAGAGAGCCAGACUGUCAGCAACUACCACACUGGAGAAUGUCUGACUGCACCACAAGAACAAUAUGAAGGUGUUCACCUGCAGCCCUGUGUCUUCAGAACUGCAAGUAGCAAGGAUGGUGAUAGAAAAGAGCCAGGAAGACAGGUAUGGACAUGCUCCAGAAAAGGCCACCUCACUGUGGUUGGGAAGGGGCUCCACCUUACUGCUACAAAAGAAUCCACUUUGGUCUUCCUUUCAAGAGGACAUAAGAAGAAGCAGGGCAGCAGGUGGAGAACACUUGACAGCCAGAUGCUAUGCAAUGGGAAAACCAGGCAACAUAAAAAUAUCAAUCCUCACCUACAUCUGGGGGAAUCGUUGGAACCAGAGAUUCUUUUCAGUUAUAUCUCUGAUGUAUACAGACAGGAUGAAACAGGUAAGAAUAUCUCAGCCAUAAUUUACCCAGUGUUGUGUAUAUGCACGUAAACACAUAACCAUUUUAAAAGUUUUUGAUUGAACCACUCCUAUUCGGGCCUGUUUUAGACAAUGACUUGCAAUAAGAUAAAUUUAUGCAAGACAUAGUUUAGGCUUACAAUCGGGGUUAGAGUAGUAUUCUGGCACCUUUAGUUAAAGUUGUUCUUCUAGUGAUGGCAUUGAGAUAUUUGCUCAGUCAUUAGAAAAUCAUGACAUCCCAUAACCGCUUACAGCUUUGAAACAUCGCUUUUUCCCUCAUCCGUGGGGUUUAUUCAUAUUGCAGACAAAGGAGUGUGCAUAAAUGGAGUAACAACAGCAAGUGGCAGUAGUAACUUGAAAUACAGCUCAAGAGAUACCAUCAAAUACACAAACUGUUUUUGUGAAGCUUGUCUCACAAAAUGUGUCUGCAAGCAAAUGUGCAGUUGUUGAAUUUUCAAAGGAGAGAAAAAAGUUGUAAAUUUACAGUGUAGAACUGGAAAAAGAUUUAAGAAAGAGAGCAGAGAAAGAUGAGAAAUUAUUUUCAAAGGUCUAUUCAUCUCACUGUUGAGAUGCUAAAUACUCAAAGAGCACUGAAUACUGGAGUAUGAGCAUACAUCAGCUGAUCACAGUUUGUACACAAAUAAAUAUCAUACUAUUAGAGUACCCAAACUACCCAUGUCAUACUUAACCCUUGGCUAUAACAGUUAUUUUUUAAUCCAAAUGAAGUAUAUUAUACAGUUACGCCACAUAAUAAUAAUGAUUCUAUAUUUUUUAUAUAGAUUUGACUCCUUCUUAUUUUAGCACCAGAUCCCCUGCAGAUCCAAUGAUUUUUCUCCAUGUGGACAGUGGUAAGAUCUGCAAAUAAAAAUAAUAAAAUAAUAAUAAUAAUAAAAGAAUGAAUGUCCAGUUUUACUUAUGUAAAUAUUUGAUUUAUUGUUGAUGUUUGUACACUAUAGAAAGCAAUAUUUAGUUUUCCAACACUAGAUGGAGACAAAUAUAAGAGAGACAGCAAAGGUUGUAGUGGACAUAGAGACGUUUUUUUUUUUUUCAAACUGUGUUUGACAAAAAUCAAUGAUAUGUAUUUGCAGCAGUUACUAGUUAGCAAAGGGUUAAAUAUGAAUUGCAUAAAACAAAUGAUGCUUUUUUGGGUUUAUAUUCACAUGCACGUUUAUAGAGAUCUCCUGGAAAAUGGCUAUGGUGGUGUUAAGUUUAUUGUCUCUGUUCCUGGGGAGUCUGACUCUUUUCUUCGGUAUUUACGCUGAUAGGUAAGUGGCUAAAACACAUAAAUCAUGCAUUAUUUAUAUAGAUUCACUAUUGGAAUAAAA
rnacentral:lncRNA from 1 species